GUUUCCUCCCUUCAGACAAACACUGUUUCCCAGAAUGCACCAGUGAAUCAAACGAUUCCUCUUGAUGUUUGACAUCAUUUGGACUCUGCACUUCAGUGGCUGCACACUGAUGCACAACUUCACUAGAGGCCAGUUGAACGUCAGUGAAGCUCUUUACCAUCACCUUCCUCUUCCUCCUCGCACUCAACCAUGUGUUCACUAGGCUCUGGCUCGUCCUCUGGCUCCUCCCACUCCUCUAAUUUUUCCUCUUUCGUCUCUGGUUCCUCCUCUUCCUCCUCCAUAUCCUGCAGCUGUGACUCUACUCAUGAGCGUCGUGAUGCGAUUGAUGUGUUCAUGCUGCAUCUGUGGUUGGUGCCAUUAUUCAGCAUGGAUUUGGGUGUGGAAGAUCUGAGGCCCAUGAAGCUGCGAGCUAGUGGACUGCUAGCCAAAACAGGUUUCUCCACCUCUUCUUCUUCUUCAUGCCCCUCUUCCUCACCAUCAUAGAUGACUCGCAGUUUUUUCUUCUUGGUGGGGCAGAGCAAGGACUUGUCUGCUGCAGUGAAAUAUACUGAUUUCUGCCUACCACUAUCAUUGUUGGGUGUGGGGUCAGAUUCAUCUAUAGCUCCAAUGGCAGAGGUUUAGAUGCAUCAGCAUCAAACUCGAUGCAGGCUUUUGAAUCAAAGUCCACCUCUGAUAAUGCUUUUGGUAUGUUUGACUCAAUUCCCAACAGAACUACAGAUUAAUCUGAUUGCAUGAAAGGAGAAAUGUGCAAGGUCUGAUUUGAGUGAGUGUGUAUGAUCGGAUUUCUCCUCUAUGAUUAAACGCUCCUCAUCAUUUAUGCUCUUAAACACUUGUCCAAAAUAACUGUCCUGUCACCUGUGUAGAUAAAUCCAUCACAUGCUCAUCCUUCACCUCCAUCCCUCCAUCCAUGCUCAUCAUCUCCAGCUCGUCCGAUCCUGAUUGGGUGAGAUCCACCACGGCAGGUGGGCUGAGGUUAUGGCAGGGUGGCGUGGUUUUGACAUCAUCCAUCGUCGUGUGUUGGUCUGGGCCCUGUUGCCAUGACAGCGGGAGCCAACUGGGUCCUGAGUUCUGAUUAACGCUGUCCAUCAUGAGGCUGUGCAGCUGUGACUCGGCCUGGACCAGGUCCUGCGCUUUCUGCACACGCUGGUCACUGUAAAUACAACACAUACAAAUACAACAGCACGGCACACUCCUGACUUCAAAAAAGAAAUUGCAAGCAUUCUAGCAAAAACUUUCAAAAACAAUUCCUCUAUUGAGAACUGCCCUCCUGCUUUCUGGACUUUUCUUACUCAGCAAGAAAAAGAAAAGAGAAACUUCGGCUCCGGUACAACCGACCUUUUACUACGCAUAGAACAUCCCUAUUUGAGGAAGAGUAAGAAAACAUAUAGUUAAAAGUAAAAAUACUAAAGUGUACCGUAACCCUAAAGCUGAUUGUUUGGUGGGGAGGUGUGUCUGAUUGCUUAUUCGGAAACAAUCUGAGACGCUGUGACAUUUAUUUCUUCUGGUUUAGUCAAAUUCAGAUUAAUGUUGUUUACAACACAGACAGCAGAAAAUCCAGGUGGAGGAGUUUCAGUUUCUGACACUGUGGUCUCAAUAUCUUUAGAACGAGGAACUGAACUCUCCAUACCUCCUGAACCACACCCUGAUCACAAGCACUUGGUGCUAAUGGGCUAGGGGUUAGGCUUUUGGAGUUAAGGGGUUAGGGGUAGAGAAUAUGAGUUAGGCAGUAGGAAAUGACCUCUGUUACACUGUUGGUAGACUUGAAAUGUGGAGUUUGUGGAAUAUCAGUAAGACUGUAAUUCCCAGAAUGCACUGCAUGAGAUGAGAGUGAGGAGGGUACAGGAUUCUCUGCAGUGCCAGUGUACACCUCAGAGCUCUGGACUAGAAACUUUACAUUCUGAAACCCUGCAAGACAGAAUUGUGUCCAUAGCACAUUAUCAGUCUUACCCUGUGUGUGUCUGUCUGUCUGUCUGUCUGUGUGGUCACUUCUUCCAUAAGGCAUAUGUUGAGCCAUGGCUGAUGGAUCACAGGACCUGCCCGAUGUACGUGUGACAUCCUCAAAUCCCUCAGAGUAGAGGUGAGGUGUGUGCGUAAAUGGAUUCAUGAGAGUUUCUCAUCUCUCUAGAGACGGAUGUUAAGGAGCAGCACAUGUAGAUGGUCACUUCUGCUUUGCAUUCGUUUCCCAGCAGCACUGAGUACUUUCACACACACUGUGACUCAGUCUCCAGCAUACACCCCAACUCCGAGUCUCUCACACAGCGAUGCUGCCUUUUCUGGAUAUGAAUCUCUGCAUGCAACAGAGCAGCUGGGUCCUGCUGACCACACACAUGAAGGUGAGAAGUGCGCGUGCACACACACACUGUAUUUCAGCCUGCCUUGCUGAAUUCCAGAAGCUGCUGCUAAUAAGCUAGUUUGUUCACUGUGUGUGUGUGUGUGUGGGGGGGGGGGUAUUAUUUUGGAAGCACACACCUGUAUUUGGACUAAACAUACUAGCAUGACCACAAAAAGAUUCAAGAUUGUGGCUCAACUGACGAGAGGCCAUAAGGUUUGUGAGAACGCUGAUAUUCUUGUCCUGGGUUCGAUGGAAACAUGGUGUCAGGACGUGCGCUGGUCUGUCAAUACAGUUCCCUCUGAAGCCCAGGAUUUGUUUUUACUAUACACUGAAGACAUUUGGGUUUGAGAUAUGUCGGUCAUUUUUAGGACAUUCCAAACAUGUUCCAAUAUUUUUGAUCAUUUGAAAAAUGGGUAGGUUUAAACACAAGGUGCCAUAUUUUAAGUUGUUUGAAUUUAAUUUCCUAAUAUUUACAUCUAAAUUUGUUAAUCAACUCCUAUUCAUCGUUUGAUCUCGAGCCCAAAUGUUUCCAGUAUAUAGCAAACCAAAAUAAUUGUCCUUGCUGUUCUAAUACUUUUCUCCAUAUAAUGGGAAUAGCUCAGCAGCGGUGUUCUUCACAGUGGCUGACAGUUUUUGGUCUUGGUCUUGUCACUGAGUUGACCUGUGGAGAUCCAGGGCAGGUUUCAUGGUGAUUUUCUCUGGCAGGUGGGGCAUCUUCAAGUUACUUGGUUACAGUUAUAUUUCUAUAGCACUUUUCUAGACACUCAAAGUGCUUUACACUGGGAGGAGACCACUAGUGUGUAUCCUCCACCUGGAUGAUGGGACAGCAGUCAUAGUGCUCCAGAACUCCCACCACACACCAGCUAUUAGUGGAGAGGAGAGAGUGAUGUAGCCAAUUCAGAGAUGGGGAUUAUUAGGGGGUGAUCGAGAAGGCCAAUGAGGGAAUUUGGGCAGGACACUGGGGUUAUACCCCUACUCUUUUUUUUUUAUUUUUAUUUAUUUUUAUUUAUGUUUUAUAUUUUUAAUGACCACAGAGAGUCAGGACCUCAGUUUAAUGUCUCAUCCAAAAGACAGUGCUGUUUAUACAGUAGUGUCCCCGUCACUAUAUUGGGGCAUUAGACCCCACACAGACCACAGGGUGAGCCCACCCUGCUGGUCUCACUAUUACCACUUCCAUCAGCAAGCUUAGUUUUCCCCAGGAGGUCUCCCAGUACUGGCCAGGCUCAACCCUGCUAAUCUUCAGUGGGACGCCAGGCAAGAGCUGUAGGGAGAGAUGGCUCUGGUUAUGUAUUUCUGCAUUCAGUGAUGGACUGGGAACCUGUUUUCUCGUAGCUGCCCUAACUGUUUAGGAGGGCGUGCUCCUCAGUGCAGAGGUACGCUUCCAUAUGGAGGCUCUAUUCAAUGACUGUACCCUGUGCUGUGAUUGGCUUGCAGGUUUGGAGGCAGUGUGUUUGAAGUGCCACUGCACUACGAUAAACCCACCUUUGAGAGUGAAACUCGCAGCUAGGAGACCAGCGAAACACACUGUGACUGUAAACACACACACACGCACAUGCGUACAUGUUCACAUACACUAUACAUACAUUUACAGUCACAGGUUUGGAUUUAAAAAUGCAUUUUAUUUAUUUCUGUGUGUGAGUUAUUUAAUGACCUCAUGCUGUGGUUAAUGGGAGGAAAAUCUCUCUUCUCUUUUAUCUCUGGGGUGUGUGUACUGGAGAAACACACAGUUCACCAGCUCCCUCUGCUGGACAUGUGUUGCAUUACCUCUCUCUUUCUCGCACACACAGUCCGUAUAUACUGAAUUUGCCAUGUGACAGGUGUUCCUGGUUCAGUAUGGGUGGAGCUUAUGUGAAUUUUUUUUCAACUUAAUCAUGUGACAUCCGUUAGCUUUUCUUUCCACUUGUUCAGCUUGAUCAUCUAUUUAAUGCUGUAUAGCGACUGCUGGGUAGGUAACGUUAAUGUUCGCUAUGUUAACUAGUGCUGUGGGUAGGUGACGGGCUAGCACAGCUGAUAUUACUAAACUAUUAUACUGUUUAAUUAUAGGCAGGCUUUUAUGCCCACAAAUACUAAAGAAAUAAAAACAGAAGCUAGUGGUAAUGUUAUACAGUUCAGAUUAUACUUAAGCUCCGCCCUCACUGACUCAGACACGCCUGUCAAUUGGCACAAAAAGCUUGCUAUUCAAAAAAAAAAAAAAAAAAACCUUAAAAUUAUUCUAAUUUUACAAAAUAUCAAAAUGUGUCCUUUUAUGUGUGUGUGCUUCACAAUGUGGCCUUAUUGGUAUCUUCUGUACUCUAUGAACUACUGAUCUGAACUGUUAAAUAAGAGGUGCAAUUUUAAUCAAAUUAUAGUGAUAUGAAAAUGUAAACUGUAAAUAAAGUCUCUUUUUAUCAUGAAUGUGUGUGUCCACUUGAUCCCUUGGCAUGAGCGGGGAUAUUUAUCUAGAGUAUCAGUUACUAUACGAAGUCUGUAGUAACAGCAUUUCUCUGAAGAUGAUUUAAUGGAGCUUGUGUUUAGAGUGUAACUUGUACUUUAGUUUUCUUCAUUUUCCCAAAAUUUAACACCAGAUACUUCACAGUACACGAAUACCACAUGGAGAUACAAACUUUAUAGUUGACGUGAGGGUAACACUGUUUACACAAGGGUAAUAGGGUUGACACUGAGGUAAUGCUGUUUACACAAGGGUAACAGGCUUGACACUGAGGUAACACUGGUUACACAAGGAUAACAGGCUUGACACUGAGGUAACAGGGUUUACGACCUUUAAGUGUAGAGAUCUGAUUAAUUUUAUGUACAUAUGCGUGUUCAUGAAUAAAAAAACGUACUGUCGUGUCUGCUCAACUUUUUUUUGAUGAGGGAUAUGCAAAUUGAGUUUAAAUUCACUAGUCUUACUUAAAUUUCCUAUAUUAACAUGUAGAUUUUAAUUAUAAAUAUAUUUUCUAAUUAUUAUAGUCUCUAUUGUAUCACUGGAACAAUGGCCCAUAUACACUCAGCUAAUCACGUGACAGCGGCACUGUACAUGAAAUCAUGCAGCUACAGGUCAAUAGCUUUAUUAAUGUUCACAUCAAACAUGUAUUAUUGUGUAUGGGGAGGACCGGGUGGGUGUGAGACCCAGUUUCUGUCCCAAUUUCUGUCCCAGUCUGGCCCGGCUCCUUCAGGAACUACUUUAUCUGAUGUGUAUAUCAGCUGCUUAUUUCUUCUUGGCCUUUACACACAGUAAAGGUUUACUGUGCUGCAGUUCUACAUGUCUUUAUUCUUUUGACCAUUAGGGGGUCUCCAAUGUAAACCCUUGAGAAAUUAAACAUUUUCAACACAUCUGUAAUAAAGCUGCAACUUUUGGGGUUUUGAGGGGUUUUUUUUUUUGGAGAGUUUUUUCAGGUUUGGAGGGUUUGAGGGGUUUUUGGACUGUUUUGGCGGGUUUUUUGGGUUUUGAGUUUUUUAGCAUUUCAGAGGGUUUCAGAGGUUUUCUGGUUUUUUUUUAAUUAUUUUUUUAUGGUUUUGGAGGGCAUUGGAGUGUGAUGAUCAUGGUGACAAUGUUGACGAUGUUGAUGACGACGAUGAUGUUGACGAUGAUGAUCAUGAUGACGAUGAUGGUGACGAUGAUGAUGAUGACGAUAGAUGAUGACUAUGACCAUGAUGAUGACAAUGUUGAUGACGUGAUUAUUAUGAUGAUGAAGAUGAUGAUGACGGCGACGAUGAUGAUGAUAACGAUGGUGAUGAUGAUGACGAUGAUAUGACGGCGAUGAUGGUGACGAUGAUGAUGAUGAUGAUGAUUACGAUGAUGGUGACGACGAAGAUGACGAUGAUGGUGAUUAUGAUUACGAUGAUGAGAACGAUGACGAUUAUGAUUACGAUGAUGGUGACAACGAUGAUGACGGUGACUAUGAUGAUGACGGCAAUGAGGGUGACAAUGAUGGCAAUGAUGACAAUGACGACAAUGAUGAUGAUUAUGAGGACGAUGAUGAUGAUGAUGAUGGUGAUAAUGGUGGUGAUGAUGGUGAUGAUGAUCUGAAGUCUUUAUUUUCUCCUACAGCGUGUAUGAAGCAGUGCUGCACGGAGCAGAUGACGGAAUGUCUGGACUGGAUUAUGGCUGAAUCCAUGCUGAGGGAGGUGUUGACUAAAUUAGAGAUGGUGCUGGACCAACAAACCACUGAGCUUGCUUCAACUACAGGUGUUCCAGGUGCAGUCUUUGGAUACUGAUGAAGAUUUACUGCCCUGCAAGAUCUUCCUCAACUGCAUAGUCUGGAGCAAAGGAUGCAACAGAGCCCAGAUUGCAAGCAAAAACUGGUGAGAAUUUUUUUCUUUUUUUGUUAACAAUUGUUUGCACAAUUACACAGCUACUGAGAGUGUUUGUUUUCUCAAGGUGACACACUCGUACUCAAAGCACAACAUUCAACACCACUUUGAUAUGAGGGAACAGUUAUGACCUAAUCUUUGGUAGAGGAGCAAAACAUGGAAAGCACACAGGGCAGGGUAACUGCAGGAGUAGUGAGAAGCACUGACACAGUUAACGAGGCAAUACAUGCUUAUUAAUUAUUUAUAUUUUAUAUUAUUUUAUAUUAUAUUAUUGUUUUAAAAAUCAUCGGUUUCGGGUAAACUGGUUGACGCUUAUUGACAGGGCAGAUGUGCUUGACUGCACCUGGCGCAUAUUGAAGAGGGUGAUUGCUAACUCCCUGGCAAAGAACCUCAAUUGGAGGGGAGUCAAUGGAAAGACUUCACUGGCCACUCUCGAGCUUGGAGAGGUCAUGAUUGAAACCUCUUCACGGCUAAAGCUGCAGAGAUGGAGGUUGAGGGGACCAUGAAGAGGUGGCUCCAGCUGGCAUCAGAUCGAGAGUGCGGGCGCAAGAGAAGACUUUUGAAAACUUUUGCAAAAAGAAGCCCUUUCCAGUAGCGGUUAUAUGAUGUUCCGAUCCAUCUUUUCACACUGAGGACAAUCGAAGGACUCGUACACGACUAUUCCAAAAGGUGCAAACAUUCACUGAUGCUCAAGAAGGUAACAGCAUGCAUUAAGAGCCUGGCUGUAAACGUUGUAAACAGGAUGAUCAUGUAAAUUUUUUUGUCUUCUGGGAUACUUCUUCUAUGCUGUAUUAACCAUCUUUCUGUAAUAGACCUUUUUCACCUCAGAGGACGAGUCUGCAAGUGUUGUCUAAUUUCCACGACACAACUCAGUUUUUACAUUUUUUAAUUUUAUUUU